rnacentral:rRNA from 1 species
GGGAAACUGAGAAUAACACUCCAUAGGUCUAGGAUGCUGGAAUGCACUUAGGCUCAAAACUUCGGUGCCCUAGGAUGAGUCUGCGGACUAUCAGGUUGUAGUCAGGGUAAAGACCUGACUAGCCUACGACGGAUACGGGUUGUGAGAGCAAUAACCCGGAGAUGAUAUCUGAGACACGAUAUCAGGCCCUACGGGGCGCAGCAGGCGCGAAAACUUCGCACUGCGCGAAAGCGCGACGAGGGAAUCCCAAGUGUAUGCACGUAAGUGUAUACUGUUUUUCUGUCUAAAAAGCAGAGAGAGUAAGAGCUGGGUAAGACGGGUGCCAGCCGCCGCGGUAAUACCUGCAGCUCGAGUGGUGAUCGUUAUUAUUGGGCCUAAAACGUCCGUAGCCGGUCUUGUAAAUGCCUGGGUAAAUCGUAUGGCUUAACCAUACGAAUUCUGGUUAGACUGUUAGACUUGAGACCGGGAGAAGCUAGAGGUACUCCUGGGGUAGAGGUGAAAUUCUGUAAUCCUAGGGGGACCACCAGUGGCGAAGGCGUCUAGCUAGAACGGGUCUGACGGUGAGGGACGAAGCCCUGGGGCGAAAACGGGAUUAGAUACCCCGGUAGUCCAGGGGUGUAAACGCUGCUUGCUUGAUGAUAGUCGAGCUCCGAGCUUCGAUUAGUGUCGGAGAGAAGUUGUUAAGCAAGCUGCCUGGAAGUACGGCCGCAAGACUGAAACUUAA